UACGGGGGGGAGCAAGCGUUGUUCGGAUUUACUGGGCGUAAAGGGCGCGUAGGCGGUCGUGACAAGUCACUUGUGAAAUCUCCGGGCUUAACCCGGAAAGGUCAGCCGAUACUGCGGGGCUAGAGUGCAGAAGGGGCAACUGGAAUUCUCGGUGUAGCGGUGAAAUGCGUAGAUAUCGGAAGGAACAUCAGUGGCGAAAGCGGCUUCCUGGUCCAGCACCGACGUCAGGCACGAAAGCG
rnacentral:rRNA from 1 species